AGCGAACGCUGGCGGCAGGCUUAACACAUGAAAGUCGAGCGGGCAUCCUUGUGGUGUCGGCGGCAGACGGGUGAGUAACGCGUGGGAACGUGCCCUUCGGUUCGGAAUAACUCAGGGAAACUUGAGCUAAUACCGGAUACGUGCGAGAGCAGAAAGGUUUAUCUGCCGAAGGAUCGGCCCGCGUCUGAUUAGCUAGUUGGUGGGGUUACGGCUCACCAAGGCGACGAUCAGUAGCUGGUCUGAGAGGAUGAUCAGCCACACUGGGACUGAGACACGGCCCAGACUCCUACGGGAGGCAGCAGUGGGGAAUAUUGGACAAUGGGGGCAACCCUGAUCCAGCCAUGCCGCGUGAGUGAUGACGGCCUUAGGGUUGUAAAGCUCUUUUCUCCGGGACGAUAAUGACGGUACCGGAGGAAUAAGCCCCGGCUAACUUCGUG
rnacentral:rRNA from 1 species